UACGGAGGGUGCAAGCGUUGCUCGGAAUCACUGGGCGUAAAGAGCGUGUAGGCGGUUUCGUAUGUCUGACGUGAAAGCCCCGGGCUCACCCCGGGAAGUGCGUUGGAAACUGCGAGACUAGAGUCCCGGAGAGGAAGGUGGAAUUCCAGGUGUAGCGGUGAAAUGCGUAGAUAUCUGGAAGAACACCAGUGGCGAAGGCGGCCUUCUGGACGGUGACUGACGCUGAGACGCGAAAGCGUGGGGAGCAAACAGG
rnacentral:rRNA from 1 species